rnacentral:rRNA from 1 species
UACGGAGGGGGCUAGCGUUGUUCGGAAUUACUGGGCGUAAAGCGCACGUAGGCGGCUUUGUAAGUUAGAGGUGAAAGCCCGGAGCUCAACUCCGGAACUGCCUUUAAGACUGCAUCGCUUGAACGUUGGAGAGGUAAGUGGAAUUCCGAGUGUAGAGGUGAAAUUCGUAGAUAUUCGGAAGAACACCAGUGGCGAAGGCGACUUACUGGACAACUGUUGACGCUGAGGUGCGAAAGCGUGGGGAGCAAACAGG